GGUGAUGAAUGGAUCAAACACAGGACACCCAUGUGACCGGGCUAUUUGUUACAUUGUUUUAUUUUUUGGUCAGGUUUCAACAACACAACUAGGCCUACUUGAUUCGUUUGGCAGUUUUAAGAACUUAAGUCCAAUUUAUCCCAUGUCACAGGAUAGCUACCUUAGAGAUUGGUAGCGCAUCAAUACUAAAAAUACAGCAACAACGUGUGUGAUUCCCAAGGGCUUCCUUCGAGACAAACAGGAUACAGUUUCCCCUUUUAAAGUUUAGUUUUUAAAGAAAAAGGGAAGGGCGUUUAUCACAUUUGGUUACUUCUUCCACUAGAUCUCUAAUUUAUCAUCUUCUUCUACGAUGGGCUUCAUUGGCAUUUUCUUAAAUAUCAACCGUUGGGGGAUUAAGAUGCUACUCGUGUGCGACCACACAGUUAAACCCCAGCGACUGCCUUGAGACCCGUGAGUGUCCCCUCUCCAUGGAUCACUGUUUCAGCAUAACAUCCGAUGUCUUUGGGCAACUCAAGGCGAAGGGGUAUCAAUCGAGUAUUAUUUGUAAUGUCGGCGGCGCAACCUUGAAUUGCUGCACUGGCGAUUUAUGUAACAAUGCGAAGAACAUCGGAUCAAGUUUCAUCCUUGUGCUGUUGUCUACCGCUGCACUGUAUUUCCUCUGAUCAGUUGGUUUGUGUGCACUCUAGAAACUUGGGGCCAGAUUCACAAAGGAGUCUCAAAAUAAUAUAAUCCUGUGCAUUACCUGGAGAUUAUGCUAUAUACUAGAAUAUUCCUAUUGAAGGUUCUUUACUGCAAUUCCUCAAUAACUUCCUCUUCCUCUCAUUACACUUAAGAAAUGUUUUUCAAGUCUUUCCAACUUUUAUAAUUUGGGCAUCUGUGAAGAUGCGUGUAAAUCAAUAGCUUGUAAUCUCUAAAGUGAAAAGGUAAAAUCCUAACAAUUGAUAAACUAAUUUGUAGUUAAGCAUAGCGUUUAGCAGCUUAGACCUAUGUCUUUUUCUUUAUUAUAAUAUCAAUACAAUUCGUAGAGUUGUCCUUUGUGUAAUUUUAAAAUGUUCAGAUUAACUUGCCACUAUCAUUCAAAUAUUUUAAACUGUUUAAGAUAUUCUACUAUAUUAUAUUAAGAUAUUCUACUAUAAAUAUUUUCUUUUACAAAGGAAGUCAAAGGCCCAUUGACUCCCAGUAGCUGACACUUCAACUACUUCAGACUUUGUAACUUCAUUUUUUAACUGUUAACCUUCAUUAAAACAUCUAACAAACACACUUGUAUCUUCAAUCAUAAAGCAUUUCUCUAUCACUUUGCUUUUUUCAGUAUCAGUUUAAUUUCUUACCUGCCUCAUACCCAUCGUUUUUUAUGACUUUACACACUCCAGCUUGGAGUGUGUGCAGUCCAUUAGCAUUUUAAUAGUGAAUAAAGUAUUGGUGAGUUAAAGGUUGGGUAUGGAAUUCGCUUUUUUGGCCAUUUUUGCAAAAUUACUUGAAAUCCUUAUCUUAACCCACUUACAGCCACUGAGUUAGAAGUACUGACAUGAAAAUUAAACAAGUCAAUCAUCUGUGGAACGGGCAGGGCUCGAAAAACUCCAGCCAAUGAUUUCCAGAGCCACCGAGUUGCAUUGGACAGUAAGUACGUCAAUCAAACGGUCGCACUGCAAUCCCACUCCCCUCGCGACCCCUUCGUGCACGUACUCAAAGCUCGUGACCCAGAGCAAGCUUCUGUUUGUUGUUAUCCUGCGGUAGCUACUGGAGCUAGCUACCUAGCUAAUGGCUCGCUCUCGCGCAUCUGUGUUUCGCUCGUGCAUGAUUGCGCGUCCAUGUACUUGGAAUGGGUGGAGUCAGAGUCAGCGUUGAAGGAGAGGGGGUAGGACCAUUUGAGUUGUUUAUUUUCAAAAUCUGCUGCCGUUUCGCAAAUCCUAUACCCCUUUAACUCAUGAUAGAUACUCAUGAUUUGGGAAUUGUAAUCAGGCAGUCACUUACUGCAAGUGUUAUUCAAAUUAAGAAACCAAAAAACAAGAAAAAAAAAAGAAUGUGCAUUAACGCAUACAUUUUUAUCAAAUUAAACUAAGAUUGCGUUACCGCGUUAUUAUCUAUCAAUCUAUUAUCCUAAUUGUUAUAUAUCAGCCGUUUGUGUGCUGGAACCCCCAUUUAUAUGGUUAGAGACUAAGUGCUUGCUACGUAUCCGGUUUACUCCCGGUAGAAGCUAAAUGCUUGAAAACUAUCUUUUGAACAGGAACAGGAAUUAUUUGUAUUUCUUUAGUCUGCAGUUCACAGAUAAUCAAUAUAAGUGACCAGUGGGAUAAUUAUCAAACCAAAAGACAUAAAAA
ensembl:lncRNA